CUCCCCAUCCCCUUCAUGCGUCUCCCUCUCUCUCAUUUUCUCUGUUUGAAAACAGAGGUAGACACCGACGACUUCUCCAAGCCACACCGCUGCCGUCCGGCAACUCCUCACCAUGGGACCGCCAUCACCGUGACCACAUCCAUCUCCUCUCUCCAACGGUGCCAGCAUCUUCGACAUGCAGCUUAACUCCGACAAGUUCAAGCUUUGAGCUAGGGGAGAAUUGACGCCGUUUUCCCAAGCUUCGGCGACUUUGCGGAGCAACUCUUGAGGCGAUUGUUGGCUUCUAGGCUCGUAGUGGAGCUUGCUGCAGCAGGAGGAAGACUUGGGAGGUGAGGAGCAAGUCGUGGUAGCACAGAUCGGAGGUGGGGAAGCUUGGUGGCAACGAGACCGAUAGCGAUCGUCCAUUGAGUGACUUGAGGGACGUGAAUCUACGCGGGGCACGAGGAGCGAGACUUUGGGCACGGACUUCGGCACUGCUAUCUCAGGUAGGGUGAGCCGCCCGCUAGGGUGAGCCGGUACCUUCCUGGUUAGUGGUUUUCUAUAUAUAAAAUGUAUAUGUUGUACGUCUUUGUCGCAUGCUUGCAUUCAUUUGCACUUUACUUUGGUCGUAUUAUCUCGAGACUGACCAUUUUAUUUUAUGCAUGUUUAUAAGUCGGUGAUUCCGUGUACUGAUGUCUGACACCGCAUGUUUUAUUAUUAUAUGGUGAAUCCCGCGUCCUGAUGU